GAGUUUGAUCGUGGCUCAGAUUGAACGCUGGCGGCAUGCCUUACACAUGCAAGUCGAACGGCAGCAUGAUCUAGCUUGCUAGAUUGAUGGCGAGUGGCGAACGGGUGAGUAAUACAUCGGAACGUGCCCUGUAGUGGGGGAUAACUAGUCGAAAGAUUAGCUAAUACCGCAUACGACCUGAGGGUGAAAGUGGGGGACCGCAAGGCCUCAUGCUAUAGGAGCGGCCGAUGUCUGAUUAGCUAGUUGGUGGGUAAAGGCCCACCAAGGCGACGAUCAGUAGCUGGUCUGAGAGGACGAUCAGCCACACUGGGACUGAGACACGGCCCAGACUCCUACGGGAGGCAGCAGUGGGGAAUUUGGACAAUGGGCGAAAGCCUGAUCCAGCAAUGCCGCGUGUGUGAAGAAGGCCUCGG
rnacentral:rRNA from 1 species